UAUUAGAGUAGGCAGGGUGAUGUUGGGCAUUUUAGGGAAAGAAAAGAGGAAAAGUAAUUAAGGUAAGAAUUUUGGGGGCAGUGAGGGGCAAGGAUAGCCAUGGAUGGGCAUAGAUGUUUUUGUGUCAGCAAAGUUUGGAUGGAGAGGUAUUGGGGAUGUGUUGUUGAAUUGGUUUCAUAGAUGUUGAAGCUCUCACCCUUGUUUUCCAAUAAUGUAUGAUGUUUCUGUGCAGAUAGGAAACUUAAAUUGACACACUCAUAUUACACACAACACCACUAUGCCAGAAAGGGAAUUGCACCUAACUCUUUCACUCCCCAAUUAGACCCCACUUCUGUGAUCUUCCAAAUCAUCACCAUGUGACUUCUCUCUCAUCAGGUUCUGCUGUCAUACCCCUCUUCUUAAAUUAUUUCCCCACCCUUGCUCUCUCUCUCUACACUACUUAUUCAUGCAAUCAAAUUUAUGAAAUGAGAUUAAUCUUUGAUCUAUUGAGCAUAAAAUUGUAGUUGGGGUUGAGGUAGCUUAGAGGACGAGGAGCGAAAGGGUCAAUGGUUGAGGUUUGUGAUUAAAAAAAUGUUACACGUCCAUUCCCCAACCAUAUAUGUGUGUGUGCCAUAUGUUUGUUUAGGUCUUAAAUUAUUUUCAAAGUGAUCUCAUCGAAUGGGGCAAUGUGGGUUGUUUAAGCAUUCAAUAAUUAUUCUAAAAUAAUAAUCCCAAUAAUGCAGAGGGUGAUUAUGAGUGGAGCUUGGAUUAGGACAUGCCAUUAUUUAACUCUUGAUCACUUGCUAGAAUGUAUCUUGUUUCUAUAAUUUUUGGUGCCGGCGCAAACUAUUAAGCGACACCAACCUAAGCCUUGCCAAUUAUCUCCAUCUCAUUUAACCAUUUAAUAUGCACUUCAUGCACUGAGAUUGGAGCUUAAUCAUAUAAAUAUUCCAUUUCAAAAUUCAUUCUACUCUAGUAGUCUUGGUUUAACGUAAAGGUACAACACAGUAUCACCAGGAUUUCCAACUUUAUCAGCAACCAAAGGAAUCUCGUGGAGUUGUAUUUCAACGAGGCCAAAUAAAUAAAUAAAGGAAGCACCACAUGUAUGUGUAAGUGCAACCAAAAAAACCAUAUUCCAUUUCUUAUUCCUGUGCCUAUUUUUGUUAGAUGUGGAUUCUUAGAGUUUACGCUUUAGUGAGUUCAAAAAGGUUCAAGAAAAAUGAAUUUAAGAUGACCCUUGACAUGAUGCACGAGUUGUGUUCAACCAAUUUAUGAGAGGAUAGUGACCAUCUUACUUACCAUCUUAGCUACAAAC
rnacentral:lncRNA from 1 species